rnacentral:rRNA from 1 species
AUGACGCGUGUUCUAAAGGGCGAGGGUCAGGGAUCAUCGCCCGGCGGAGGGCGCGUCGCGGCCGGUGGAGGGAGAGAGUUUACGACCGGCAGAGGGAGAGAGCUCACGGCCGACGGAGGGUGCCAUCGCGCCAGGAGAUCGAAGACAAAACGGUCGUGGUUGAAACGUCAAUGCUUUGCUGAUGGUGGGAUAAAAUUAGUUGCGGCAUUGGGGUUUCCCAUGGAGGAGACGGAGAACGGACCGCGCCAUGGCUGCCCAGGUCCAGCCGACCUCAUCAGCGCCCUCCCAGACGAUCUGCUCCUCCAGGUCCUGGAGCGCCUCGGCGCCGCCGCGCGCACCAGCGUCCUCUCCCGCCGGUGGCGCGGCCUCUGGACCCGCCUGCCCCACGUCACCAUCGCCCUCCACGACGUCCCGUUCCGCUCGAUCCAGGCGGCGCUCGCCCGCGCCGUCCGUCCCGGGGUGUGCCACUACCGCCUCGACAUCCGCGUCCGCUGGCAAGCCACCCCGCUCCGCACCGCCAGCGUCUCCUCGCUGCUCCUCGCCGCGGCGGCGCUCUCGCCCGUGGAGGUGCUCUUCGUCCUCUCGCCGGACGUCCUGCUCCCACGCCUGGACCGGCUCCCCGUGGAGCAGUUCUACGCUCUUCUCCCGUGGAGCGCGCGGAGCCCCCUUGUGGGGGUGGACCUGCCCCGCUUCCGCCGCGCCACCUCCAUCGACCUGCGCGCGCGCCACCUCCGCCUCUUCGCGCCGCCCUCCGGGUUCCCCUCGCUGGAGAGGCUCGCCCUCACCGGCUGCGACGUCGACCUCGCCGCCUUGAUCCCUCGCUGCCCGCGCAUCCGCGCACUCAGGGUGAACAACAAUGGCGUGUUGCCCAUGGACAGCAUCACCGUCCACUCGCCGUGCUGCGGGAGCUCUCUGUGGAGAGCAGCAACACAUGGACAAGCUGUGUCGAUGUCGAGGCGCCCAAGCAUGCCAGUAAAUUGUCUCUGUGAUGAGCCCAAAGACUGGAGGACACAAACUAUCUCCAUGGCUGAUCUUGAAACCGUGGAAAUUGAAGGUGUCAACGGGGAGGAUCAUGAGUCUGAUUUUCUGAAAAUGAUCUUUACAUGUGCUCCAAUGCUUAAAAGAGUGACUCUGAGGUUGGCAGAUGGUAUCACCCCAUGUGUCGAUUGGUGCACAAAAGUAGACAACAUCUUCAAGGCGUAUCCUUCUGUGAAGUGCAAAGUUGAUCUGGUAAGCAGGGUCAACAUGUCGCAGCCAAAGUUUUGCAUUGACAUGAUUCAUUGUGCUUACAUUUGUGGAUCCAGUGUGGUCAGCAACAAGACCAUCCUCUCCCACGCCCGACCAACUCCUGUCAGAUUUCAGAUUCUUGCUUCAUGGCUUCAAUCCAUACUAUACUACUUUCUGUUAUUCUCCAACUGUAGUGGAGCUACAGGGUCGAAGUGGUGCCCUCUUGUGUAA